GCCCCCAUGGAGCGGGUGAGCGAGGCCGCCGCCUGCGGCCCCUCGGCGGGCUGCUACACCUACCAGGUGAGCCGGCACAGCGCCGACGUGCUGCACAGCCUCAACCAGCAGCGCAAGAACGGCGGCCGCUUCUGCGACGUGCUCCUUCGCGUGGGCGACGAGAGCUUCCCGGCGCACCGCGCCGUGCUGGCCGCUUGCAGCGAGUACUUCGAGUCGGUGUUCAGCGCCCAGCUGGGCGACGGGGCAGGUGGCGGCGGCGGCGGCGGCUCGGACGGGAGCGCGGCGGAGGCGGCGGCGGCCGGCGGGGCCGCGGCGGCGGCCGGCGGCGCCCCCGGGGGCGGGCGGGAGCUGGAGAUGCACACCAUCAGCUCCAAGGUGUUCGGAGACAUCCUGGACUUCGCCUACACGUCGCGCAUCGUGGUGCGGCUGGAGAGCUUCCCGGAGCUCAUGACGGCCGCCAAGUUCCUGCUGAUGCGCUCGGUGAUUGACAUCUGCCAGGAGGUCAUCAAGCAGUCCAACGUGCAGCUCCUCGUGCCCCCCGCACGCCCUGAUAUUAUGCUGUUCCGUCCGGGGGCCGCGGACCUCGGCUUCCCUCUUGACAUGACCAACGGUGCCGCUUUGGCGCCCAAUGGCAACGGCAUCGCCGGCAUGCCCGAAGACGAGGCCACGCGGGCCGCGCUCAGCGCCGCGCAGUCCUCCCUGCCCGUGCUGCAGGGCGUGGACCGCCUGCCCAUGGUGGCGGGACCUCUGUCCCCACCGCUGCUGGCCUCGCCCUUCCAGAACGUUGCUGCUAGCGCUCCCACUUUAAGCACCAAGAGGGGCAGAGGUCGUCCCCGCAAGGCCAACCUCUUGGACUCCAUGAUGUUCGGUACCCCGGGGGGCCUGCGAGAGGCCGGGAUCCUGCCUUGUGGCCUCUGCGGGAAAGUGUUUACGGAUGCCAAUCGUCUUCGGCAGCACGAGGCUCAACACGGGGUGACGAGCUUACAGCUGGGCUACAUAGACAUCCCACCCCCCAGACUGGGUGAAAACGGUGUCCCUGGUCAGGAUGACCCCGACGCACCCCGGAAAAGAAGCAGGACGAGGAAACAGGUGGCCUGUGAGAUCUGUGGCAAGAUUUUUCGGGACGUGUACCACCUGAAUCGGCACAAGCUGUCGCACUCUGGCGAGAAGCCCUACUCUUGUCCGGUGUGUGGCUUGCGGUUCAAGCGGAAAGACAGGAUGUCCUAUCACGUUCGAUCUCACGAUGGCUCUGUGGGAAAGCCCUACAUCUGCCAGAGUUGUGGAAAAGGCUUUUCCAGGCCAGACCACUUGAAUGGACACAUCAAACAGGUGCAUACCUCAGAGAGACCUCACAAGUGUCAGCAGGAAAAUGGCAGCCACCAUGGAAUAAGCUCAGAGACAUCCACAUCCAUAGAAAAGUUGAAACUUCAAGAGACUUGUAACGCUUCCUUUGCCACUCGUGACCGGCUGCGCUCACACCUGGCCUGUCAUGAAGACAAAGUCCCGUGCCAGGUGUGUGGCAAGUACUUGAGAGCAGCAUAUAUGGCAGACCACUUGAAGAAGCACAGUGAAGGACCAAGCAAUUUCUGCACUAUCUGUAACCGAGGUUUCUCCUCUGCCUCCUACUUAAAGGUCCAUGUUAAAACCCACCACGGUGUUCCCCUUCCCCAGGUCUCCAGGCACCAGGAGUCCAUCCCGAAUGGGGGAGCAGCGUUCCACUGCGGCAGGACCUAUGGCAUCAAAGAAGGCCAGAAAUGUUCCCAUUCGGACCCGAUUGAGAGUUCUGAUUCAUACGGAGACCUCUCUGACACCAGUGACCUCAAGACUCCUGAGAAACAGAGCACCAACGGGUCCUUCUCGUGUGAGCUGGCAGUGAGCAAAAACAAAAUGGAGACGGAAGGGGAGAAGAAAUACCCGUGCCCUGAGUGCGGCAGCUUUUUCAGAUCCAAGUCUUACCUGAACAAACACAUACAGAAAGUUCACGUCAGGGCCCUGGGUGGCCCCCUGGGGGACCUGGGUCCUGCUCUGGGAUCCCCCUUCUCACCCCAACAGAACAUGUCUCUCCUGGAGUCCUUUGGGUUUCAGAUCGUCCAGUCAGCAUUUGCAUCAUCCCUGGUGGAUCCGGAGGUCGACCAGCAACCGAUGGGGCCAGAGGGGAAAUGAGAUCAGUGUGAUCUUAGCAAAGCGAAGCAGCAGUCUGGCUAUAGUGAUAAGAUGCUGUGAAUGAAAGAGGAAAUAAUGAAAUUGGGUUCUAUAGCUGAGAAUUUUUUAUUUGUUUUAGCUUCCCUCUUUGUCUCAUGCCCUACCCCCACCUUUAAACUUCCACUGGGGAGAGGGAGAAAAUGCUUCUUAGCUGAUAAAUUACAGAAGAUGGUGGCCUUGAAUAGGAGAUGUGACCCAAAACACUAAAUGGAGCUUUAGAGGCUGCUGCUGGUGUUUCUCCGUGUUCCUCUGGAAUGAUGGAAAGUUGCCAGCUCUGGUGUGAGAACGAGGCAGUCCUAGUGACCGAGGCACCCGGGGAGCUACAGCUACAGGGAGCUAUGGUUUUGUUCUCUCUCUAUUCCCCACCCUCCCUAAACUACCCCAGAAAAACAGUAAGUUUUAAAAACAGACCCACUAUUGAAUAACAUUGAAGUCAAAUGCCCCGUGGUUCCUAGCAGGUUACAAUGCAGUUGUCCUUCUAAAACCAGAAAAAAUUUAAAGGAGGUGAGAGAAUUCGAACCCCUUCUGCCUUUGUGAGGCUGUGAGUGCUGCAGCAGGACUGAACUGCUGACAAGAAUCACCUUUCAGAACAGGUUGUUUUUAUUACUUUUGACCGUUAAACUUGCUGUCAGGUUUUUAAUUCUUUAUUAUUAUUAUUUUAGGACCUGUUGUAGUGAAUUGCUACUGAAAAGCCAGUCUAAGGCGAUACGCAGAGCACUCGUAAAGCAGCAGUCACAUUAGGCACCAGCACUUUCUAAAUUGAGAGCAUGUUGCAGUGGACUUGAUGUUUUGCUAUUAAUCUGUGUUGGGAGACUGAAGGACAUGUUCUUCUCCAGUCAUCUUCUCCCAGAAUCCCUGGAAUAAGUAUGAGUCUCAUGUAAAAGGAAAAAAGCAAACAAGCAAGCAAACAAACCCACCUUCAGACUAAAACUUCGUGGAAUUACUGUUGCUGUACUGGUAAGAUUAGUCGGCAGGUAGAAAUAGAACAUUUCAGAAAAGUGACAAAACAUUUUAAAAUACCUUACAGUACCUAGACAAUGCUGAGACAACCUUGUAAGCUGCCAAGGAAGUCAGGCUGGAGCAGGCUUUCCAGUCAGCAGAACAAUUCAUGGGGAUUAGCAGAUGCAACUGCAGUCAGUGUUUCACUAACAGCUCAUAGUUAAGCCACGAGGGAAGUUUCUGUUGAACUGAGGCUGGGUGCUUGAAGAGAGACGUUUGUGUCCCUGAUGUUCCCACGUGCGCUUAAAGGGUCACAAAAUUCAAUUCCAAAAGCCAAAUCCAGAGUAUAGGACAGUUUCAUCCUACAUUUAGCUGCACUGACUUUAGUGUUAGUAGUGGGUUGACUUUUGGCCGUGUCUAUCGAUUUAAUUUGGAAGGCUACAGAAUCUGACCUGGUGAAACCAAUGAACAACCUUGAACUAAAACCGAAGCCUUCUAAAACACCAACUGUGCAUUCUGCUGUCAAAGAAAGUGCUUACUAAGGUGUCAUGAAUACACUGAAUGAAAACUACUUACUUCUCAGUCUAGUGGACAGGGAAACAAUUAGGCAGGAAGUUUACAAUCCUGAAAUGAGAGUUCUAGAUCAUCCUGGUGUAAAUGGGAGAGAUUUGUACCAGCGCAAGAGGCUGGUCAGGCUUAGUGCCAGCAGGAGGUUGGGCAGGUCUUGGGCAGUGCUGUGUUUUCAGGGCCCUGUGCUUCUUCGGGGGCAUUACAGUUCCAUUCUGGACAGUAAUGGAACCUACAUGCAAAUCCUUUCUGUUCUGUACUUUGGGAAAUGUCUGCUUCUCACAGAACGUGAGACAGAUCAAAGAGAAAACCCAGCUCACGAGUUCAGAGGGAAGUAGGUAACAUGCCCUGAGCUGCAGCUCACUUCUUGCUGUUCCAUUUUAGUUUUAAUUGCCAUAUCAGUGUAUAGGUGAUAGUUCUGAUGCUGGCCCACCCUCCUUUCCUUGUCAUCCCCUUUGGUGGGACUGCAGUCCGAUGUUUUGAGUCGGUGCACGUUUCUGCCAAGGAGGGAACUUCUGUUCAUACAAAUCUGGAUAAUCAGAGUUGUAGUAUUUGUAUUGUAGGAUCCCAUAACCUUUUGUCUGAGGCUCAGUCUUGUGUAUUAGGUAUGAUGAAAACAUCUUCAGUCAUUCAUGAUCUAAACACUAAAGACAGACAAGAAAGGAAUAGGUGCUUAUAGGUGAGUGAGUGACAGAAAGAUGAAGGACUAAAAACCACUUGCAUGCUUAAGUGUUGUGUUAAAUGUAGGGGCGCAGAUUUAUCAGGCUUCUUUUAUUGCCUGAUUUGAUCUUUAUGUAUGUUAAUCCACAACAAAUGCAAGGUAAAGCAAUUUAAUACGAAUUUGUUCCGUGCUGAGUUAAAUGAGGUGACAUGACCUUGCAUUUGUCAUGUCUUAAAUGUGUGCAAACAGACCCACCGGUGGGGCUCACCUGGGGCAUGGGACUGUGGUGCAUGUGAGCUCUCAGUGCCGAGUGAUUUGCCCAAGAUGAUGUGGGAAAUUGAUAGCAGAACCAGAAAUUGAACACAGAUUUUUCCUUCUCUCAAUCCAGUGCCUUAAUUAUAGUAGGGCAAAGUAUUAUAUGUUGGGGGGGGGGGGGAUUUGUUUGUUUUUUAAAGCCAAGAUGGUGUGGAGUUGGUCUUCCUACCAAUCUUUUGAAUAAUUGUAAAUGCCCAGUCACAAUUUUAGACCUGUUUGAGUGCCAGUGACUUAGGGAAUAUUUGUUAUUUCCCAUGUAUUCCCUGAAAUUAUUGUUCCUCCCUCAACUGCUGUGGGCAGUAAGGAAUGACUUGAAUAGAAGAGCUGUGUAACUGAAUGUCUAUCUAACUCAACUAAUUGAAUUGCUAGUAUGAAAGCUAACCUAGAUUUUGUAGGCUCUGUUGUAACUUUAGUGUCUUGUUUUUUCACUAAAUCUUUGUUCCUAGAAAUCAGUAUCUGAACUUAUGUCUUGAGUCGGGAGUGGGGUACCACUUUCAGCUUUAAUUUUUUUUAAGGUGCUUGCUUGAGGAAGUAGAUGCCAAAGUAAACUUCAAAGGAACUCCAGACUUCAGUGUUGGAAGAAUGAACGGAGAGCAAGAGCUCUCUUUGGGUUUCAUGAGAGAUAAAUGGACAAAGUAAAAAACAGCCACCAAAAUUCUAAGUCACGAAACUGGACAGAAAACAAGAAAAGGCUUUUCUUUACCGCCCACAAAAACAAUCAGAUAUUUUCAAUUGUUCAGCGUGGCAGAAACUCUGAGAGCAAGUGCCAAACAAUCCCAUGGAAUGUGCUGGCUUUUUCAGCAUUAUUGUACCUUACCAGCAUUAUCAAUAUCCAGAUGUAAAUCGAGCCAGCUUUGUACUGUUCACCUUUUGCCUGGGCACAAUAGCUGAGUUUUAAUGAACAGAACAUAAGCUCACAGUGAAUCUCUGAGCUCAUGCUCUCAGUUCCACUCUGGGAGACAAAACAAAUGAGCAAAAAGGG